GAUUACGGGUAGCCGGCCUGAGAGGGCGACCGGCCACACUGGGACUGAGACACGGCCCAGACUCCUGCGGGAGGCAGCAGUGGGGAAUAUUGCGCAAUGGGCGAAAGCCUGACGCAGCGACGCCGCGUGGGGGAUGACGGCCUUCGGGUUGUAAACCUCUUUUACCACUCACGCAGGCCCCACGUUUUCGUGGGGUUGACGGUAGGUGGGGAAUAAGGACCGGCUAACUACGUGCCAGCAGCCGCGGUAAUACGUAGGGUCCGAGCGUUGUCCGGAAUUAUUGGGCGUAAAGAGCUCGUAGGCGGCGUGUCGCGUCUGCUGUGAAAGACCGGGGCUUAACCCCGGUUCUGCAGUGGAUACGGGCAUGCUAGAGGUAGGUAGGGGAGACUGGAAUUCCUGGUGUAGCGGUGAAAUGCGCAGAUAUCAGGAGGAACACCGGUGGCGAAGGCGGGUCUCUGGGCCUUACCUGACGCUGAGGAGCGAAAGCAUGGGGAGCGAACAGGAUUAGAUACCCUGGUAGUCCAUGCCGUAAACGUUGGGCGCUAGGUGUGGGGACUUUCCACGGUUU
rnacentral:rRNA from 1 species